CUUCCAGACUCCUACGGGAGGCAGCAGUGGGGGAUAUUGCACAAUGGGGGAAACCCUGAUGCAGCGACGCCGCGUGGGUGAAGAAGCGCCUCGGCGCGUAAAGCCCUGUCAGCAGGGAAGAAAAUGACGGUACCUGAAGAAGAAGCCCCGGCUAACUACGUGCCAGCAGCCGCGGUAAUACGUAGGGGGCAAGCGUUAUCCGGAUUCACUGGGUGUAAAGGGAGCGUAGACGGCGACGCAAGUCUGGAGUGAAAGCCCGGGGCCCAACCCCGGGACUGCUCUGGAAACUGCGUCGCUGGAGUACGGGAGGGGCAGGCGGAAUUCCUGGUGUAGCGGUGAAAUGCGUAGAUAUCAGGAGGAACACCAGUGGCGAAGGCGGCUUACUGGACUGUAACUGACGUUGAGGCUCGAAAGCGUGGGGAGCAAACAGGAUUAGAUACCCGAGUA
rnacentral:rRNA from 1 species